rnacentral:lncRNA from 1 species
GGGUUGCGUUUAUACUACUCAUGCUGACGUAUGAGUUUCUUUUACAUCUUCUCAUAUUUACGUAUGAGUUUUUUAAAUCUCUACUCAUGCUGACGUAUGAGUUUCUUUAAUUCUCAUCAUGCUGACGUAUGAUGUCAUGUCUUUUCUAUACUCAUGCUGACGUAUGAGCUUUUACUCUGUACUCAUGCUGACGUAUGAUGUCAGGUCUUUUCUAUUCUCAUGCUGACAUAUGAGCUUUUACUCUCUAAGCUUUUACUCUCUACUCAUGCUGACGUAUGGGUUGUUAUUUUAUCUUUCAUUUUUCAUGUACUUAUGAGCUCAAACUUGUAUUGUUAAUUAUGAGCUCUUAUAUUUGAUACUCAUACUGUUUUUUGAGUUAGUUAAUUUUAUUUACUUACUGACGUAUGAAGGUGUUUAAAUUUUAAUCAUGUUGGACUUUUCGAUAAAAUUGUAUACUUUUAUCAUCAAAUUUUAUCUUAUCCCCCAAGUUUUCUGUAUAUAUUAAUUUUCAUUUAUAUGUUAAAAGGGGGAUAACUCUUAAUGUUUAUUAUGUGUAUGCAGCUGUUAGUCCCCAGUUUUUCCAAUGUAAU